UAAACCGUUUUCAUUUGGUUUAUUCCGGACCGGUUUUGGUUUAUAUCGGAUGGAAGUGUACGUCACAUUUGACGUCAUUGCUGCAGCAGAAGUCUUGGGUGUUGGAAAAGGGUAAGUGCUCUCAGAUAUUUUUUGAAGACUUUUGGCCUAGUUCAUGGUGUUAAAAUCAUUUCAUUACGGUUACAGAGAAGCGAAUAAACUUUGUGUAUAGCGCAGCAUUCCUAUCAACAAGUACAGGUGCAGUUCAUAAAAGCCGAACCUGCCUUACCUGGUGAUCAAAUAAAAAAAAGUGGAUUUGUUUAUGAUAAAUGAAAAACCAUACGGAUCCAGCAUUACCAAUUUUUCAUGCCUAUGUAUUGAGCAACCUAAGUUCAGCGUCCCAGUGCCGUUUUUAUUCAAAGCCGAUUUGAGUGAUGAUUGAACAAAGUUAUUGACCCAAUGCCGAUUUUAGUAGCGAUUGUGUGAUUACAAAUCAGAGCAAUAUUCCAGCACAUUUUCUGGCCAUAAGACAACAAAAUAUCUACAUGUUGGGGAUAAAUUUUCAUCUAAAACAGACAUACAAGGUGUAAUAUACAACCUGCCUUUUUCACCGUGAAUACAUUGAAGAACAGACACCAUGACCCCAAGCUUGCUUCAAAAUAGGCUCCACCCGUGCCUUAACAUGAGAAGUUUUCAAACCGUUUGACCAUUAUCGAAGGGGCUGAAGAAAUUUCUUAAGUGCUCAAGAAGCUAUGCAGUCACUGUCAGGGAUACAAAGCCAGAAUUGUGUAAAAAUUUGAAAAAUAAAUACAGGA